rnacentral:lncRNA from 1 species
GUAGAGAGAGAAGUUCUUAUUAUUUGUACUUGUAAUCCCAACGUACAUACAAAGUUCGACCCAAAUUCACCGAGUUCUGUUUAGUAAUGAAGAUAAUAGCUAUUUCGUUGGCUAUUGUUAUGAUCAUUUUACUACCUAAUGUUGUUGUCAUAGGCAUUAAGGUCGUGUGUAGUGCUGCGCCAUCGAAUUAGGAAAAAAGACCAGGUCUAAGGCCUCCGCCACCCCCUAAGUCACACUCUUCAGUCUAUAGAAGCGGGCGAGAUUCGUCCCCCAAACGCCACCGCCACUAUCAUACUGAUUAGUUGUGUACAUGAGAUUUUAUGCAAGUGAUGUCAACUCAUCGUCAUAAGUUGACUAGUAAUAGUGCCCAAGCCUCACCCUCGUAUCCACUAGUGGUGGGUGAGGUUGGUCCCACCAAAGCCGCCACCAACAUCUUAGUGAUGUACGUGAGAUGUUAUGCAAGUGAUGUCAGCUUAUCGUCAUAAUUUGACUUGUAAUAAGGACCAAUUGUAUGGUCUCACUAGCUCUCCUAUAUUAGUAAUUUGUAAUGAUGGUAUGUAUCAGAGGCGGAUUCAGAAUUUUAAACUUGUGGGUUCCUAAGGGGCUCCUUUCCUUCCACUAAACUAUCCCUUGGUUUAGUUAUGGGUUCCCACCUAUUAAUAUUUAUAACUUUUGGCGAUUUUUCUUUGUACUUUUAAGCCAUACAGUAGCGGGUGUGGGUUCCCGGCAACCCACACCUACUACUCUACAUCCGCCACUGGUAUGUAUACUUUUCCAACUACUUAUACAUUGUUCCAUUACUUUACAAGUCACAUUGAAGUACAUGAGUAGAUUUUAAAUUGAAGUAACAAUGUCAUAAUUGUUGAAGUUGUUGUCAUGUAACCUAGAGGUCACAGUUCAAGCCGUGAGAACAAACUUUUGCAGAAAUGAAAGGUCACGGUUUAGACCGUUAUGAUCCCGUUCUUCCUCAAACUCUGCGCAUAACAGAAGCUUUAGUGCACCAACCCUUAUAUCAACACAUAGAUGAUGGGAAGAUUUUAGAUAUAAUCAAUACAUCUAUAAUCUAUAAUCUAUAAUGUAUAUAUAUAUAAUUAUAAUUAAUAAGUAUAAUUAAUAUAUUAAAAGUGUGAAGACCUUUAUAAAAGUGAUUUGAACUUUUUGCCCUUCAUUAAAAGUUUCAUCAAUAGACAAAAUUGUCUUUACAAUUAUUUUCUCAAUUAUUAUAUUAUUAUAUUUUAAAGGAGUCCUAUAAUAUAUGGUAGGAAAAAUUAUAUAGAGAAUUAAUAUUAGUUGAUUUUUUCUCCAUAUAUACUUGAAAAAAGGAGUCCUAAAUAUAGAGAAGAAAAAAGGGUAUAGUAAAACGUACAUCAAAUACAAAAAAUAAUAUUCCAGCAAAAAUGACCCCCCCCCCUCACUCCCAAAUUUAAUAAAAACUUGAAAGUUGGCCAAAAAAAAAAAGGAAAGAAGAAUUUUCGAAUUUUUAAAUCCAAAGUUUGUUAAACUUUAAGGGGAUUUUGGUUAGCUUUUGAAUCACUUUACCAUUAGGAUUCUUUAAUUAGUUAAUUGAUGAUAAUUGUCGUUGAAUUACUUAAUUAAUUGUUGAUAGUUGUCUUUUUCUAUUUAGGUUUAGAUUUCUUUUUUUCUAAACUAUCACAUGUAGAGAAAAAAUAGGUUUAGAUAUAAAAUUUUCUUAUUAAUGUAUAUAAAUUUUAUCGUGAUCUAAGGUAAGAUUUUUAAAUUUUAGUAUGUUUUUAAAGUUUAUAAUAAAUAAAUUAUCUUGUAUUUUAAUAAAUAAUUGCUAAUUGAAAUUUGCUUGUGAUUUGAGGUAAGUUUUCUAACGUCAUUAUUCCAUGUUCACCAUCAACUUUUUUACGAUAAUUGUGAAUUUUCUUAUUUGAUUUAUGUUUUUGUUUUAUUGUUCUUUAUAGUGUAUAUUUAUGAAUUAAUAUCCAAAAAUAACUAUUGAUUUUUUAUUUCAUGCCACAUGUAAGCUUUGAUGAAAAAUUUAUUCAAAAAAUUAACGAAAUUGGUUUGAAAUAGAAGUGAUCACAAUAUAGUUACGUGGUGAAAUUAAUUUGAUUUAACAUUUACUUGAGAGAUAGAACAAACCAUAACGAGCACCUUUAUUAUGACAUUAUUUCGUUUGAUUGCAGUUUCUGAUCUAUUACUAUUUGUAAUUAUUUUUUUUGGCUUAAUACAGGUGGUAAACGAAUGUAUGG